AUAUAAAUAUAAUAUAGGUUUUUAAGUUGUUUUUAUAUUAAUUUUAUAUGAAAAUUAUAGUGAGAAUCAUUAUAUUUUUUAAUAAAAUAUAAUUAUAAUAUAAUUUCAAUAUAUAAUUUUAUAAAUUUAAAGAAAUUUAGAUAUAGUUAUAUAUAAUAAUUUUAAUAAAAUUUGUGCCAGCAAUUGCGGUUAAACAAAUAAUGUAAAAUAAUUUUUUUUAAAUUAAAAAAAUUUUAUUUAAUUUAUAAUAAAAAUAUAAUUUAUAAAGUGAAAUUUAAAAUUAUUAAUAUAUUUUAAUUAAAUGUAUUUGAAAAUUUAAUUUAAAAACUAGGAUUAGAUACCCUAUUAUUUUAAAGGUAAAUUAAAAUUUAGAUUAUUAUUAGUUAUUUUCUAUAAAAUUAAAAUAUUUGGCGGUAUUUUAAUCAAUUUAGAGGAACCUGUUAAUUAAUUCGAUAAUCCACGAUUAAUCAAACUUAUUUAAUUAGUUAAUAUAUCGUUGUUAUUAAUUAUUUUAAAAGAAUUUAAUAAUUAAAAUUUUUAAUUAAAAAUAAUAUCAAAUCAAGAUGUUGCUUAUAAAUAAGAUUAAAUGGGUUACAAUAAAAUUAUUUUUAGAUAAUUAUUUGAAAAAUAAUUUAAAAUUGGAUUUAAUAGUAAUUUAAUUUAUUUAAUUUAAAUGAUUAUGUUCUAAAAUAUGUACAUAUUGCCCGUCGCUUUUACUUUAAAGUAAAAUAAGUCGUAACAAAGUAGAUUUACUGGAAAGUGAAUCUAGAAGAU
rnacentral:ncRNA from 1 species